GGGCCGCGACACCCCCGGUGGCACCGGGGCUCCGCUGCGACCCGCGCCGGUCCUGCCACGGGCGGGGCUGUGGGGACGCGGGGGUGGUGGUGAGGCCGGACACCCGGCAGGCAUGGUGGGCUACGACCCCGAGGCCAAGUGCGUGUCCACGGCGGAAGCGGCCGCAGCAGGGUCGGCGUCCGGCUUGGUCACUCGGGUUCUGAUCAGCCCCUUGGAUGUCCUCAAGAUCCGCUUUCAGCUCCAGAUCGAGCAGCUCUCCUCCAGAAACCCCACGGCCAAGUACCACGGCAUCCUGCAAGCUGUGCAGCGCAUCUUCCGGGAGGAGGGCCUGGGAGCCUUCUGGAAGGGCCAUGUUCCUGCUCAGUUCCUCUCCGUUGGCUACGGAGCUGUUCAGUUCAUGGCGUUCGAGAGCCUGACAGAGCUGGUGCACAACGUCACCUCGUACAGCGCCCGCGGCUCCUUCGUGCACCUGGUCUGCGGGGGCCUGGCUGCCUGCACAGCCACCGUGGCAGUGCAGCCCGUGGACACCCUGCGCACCCGCUUCGCUGCUCAGGGCGAGCCCAAGAUCUAUCCCAACCUUCGCCAUGCAAUAGUGACCAUGUACCAGACGGAAGGGCCUCGGACUUUCUACAGAGGUUUGACCCCCACACUCAUUGCUAUCUUCCCAUAUGCUGGUCUCCAGUUCUUCUUCUACAACAUCCUGCAGCAAUAUUCGGAAUGGGUGAUUCCAGCUGAAGGAAAGAAAGGAGGCAACAUUAAAAACCUUGUCUGUGGCAGCUGUGCUGGGAUCAUCAGCAAAACCCUCACGUACCCUUUGGACGUGGUCAAAAAGCGACUGCAAGUGGGUGGCUUUGAGCACGGUCGGGCAGCCUUUGGGCAGGUACGGACGUACAGGGGUUUCCUGGACUGCAUGAGGCAGAUCAUGCGGGAGGAGGGCUCAGGUGGAUUCUUUAAGGGCCUUUCCCCCAGUUUGCUGAAGGCUGCCUUCUCCACUGGCCUCAUCUUCUUCUGGUAUGAGCUGUUCUGCAGCCUCCUGUGUGCCCUGAAGAGCCCCAACAGCACUGGGAGGAAGGAAGGCUGACAGGGAUGUGUGUGGCUGCCUGUUCUCCUCAGGAGGGGAGACUCAUGGCUUUGCUCUGUCACGAGCGUGUUGGAAAGGCCAGAGCUCCCAGAGCUCCUCCAGCCUGUGGAAAAUCACCUCCUGGGACCAAGCAGAAGGAGAAGGUGACUGCAGUUCUGCUGGAGGCUGUUCAACUGAGCACUUUUAUUAGCUCUGUCUCCUCUCAUAAGCACGCAUUUAGUGGAGAGAAGGGAACAAACAGACCAUUCCCUAGCAGCAACUGUGCUCUGGAAAGGUACCCAAUAAAGUGGGUGAAUUUCUGAGGUCGCCCUGGAUCCCUGAGAGGGAUCCUGACCCAGCCUAGUGCAGCUUAACCAACCAAACACCCCUUCCUAGCACUGCAGCCACACAGCUUUGUUCCCUUGCUCUGUGCCUGCUGUUUGCACCAAAUCCUUGUCUGGGUGUUGCACAGGUCACUCUGUUCUGCUGGAGUGAAGUCAGGUAAAACCACCUGAGUGCACAGGCCAUCAGUUUUCCUUUCCUUUGCUGCCAGCUGAUGCUGCUUGGUCACCACUUGCUGGCUGUGCAUUCCCAGCCACCUUAAACACAGAGUCUUCUCUGAUCAUGCUGACCCAGACUUGUUCUUUCUUUAACUCCAGUGAGCUUGAUUGUAUCCUGAGUUCCCAUUUCUCUUCUUGGGUAUGUUUGGCCAUGCAUCUCUUAGGGGUUUGCAUUGCCUCACUCACACUUUUCACAAGCAAACCUGCAGAUUAAGAGCCUUGCUCUGAAGGGAUUCAACGCACAAGCCUAAUUCUUACUUCAGGGUUCUUUGCUUCAAUGCAGCAAGUAAACAAAUGCUGUAUGGAGAUAAGAAAUAUUUACUCUAAGUUGGAAAUAAUGAAGGGAAAGUCCUGUGGAAACUCGUAAAUUUUUAUUAUUAUUGUUAUUUAUUUAGUAAUAAUUCAAACACUUUUGAAUGUUUCUAGCAAGUAUUUCUGUAGUGGCCUCAAAACAUUUCUGAACCUCGGUCCUACACUGGCGCUAACAGAUGAAAAUGUUUUGACAAGAUUAGCUGAAGUGAAAGGAAUGAACAUCAAAUGGGAAUUGUUUGGCUGAGCGUGGUGGUGUUUCACAAGAGAAGGAUGAUUGAAUUAGAGCCGGGAGAAGUGUUUUUCUGGAGUUUCAAAGGUUUUAGGAGUGGUUAAAAAAGCCAACAAAACAACCAACCAACAACUCUGAUUUACGUAACCAGUGGAAAAGAGGAAAAUUGCUUUCUUCCUCCUCUUUUAUUCUGUGUGUUUUCAAGCUGGGCAGGGUGUGGUUGGGCUGUGUGGAAGAGUCCUGAGGAAGAGCCCGGCUGUACAAACUUUAGUCAUCUGUGAGGGGUGGAUAGGGCAGAAUCCUGGGUUAUUUGGAAGAUGGUUUCAUGGUUCUUCUCUUAACACAGAGCUUUUCCCAGCUCUUUUGCAGUAUUCAGGGUGUUAAUCCCAAAAUGGUCUGGCCAAAUUCCAGCGUGACCAAUUCCAUUCCGUUGACACAACUUCUCCUGGUGUUUUGAACGUAUCAGCAUUGCUCACUUAUCCUGAGCUAUUGUGAGAGGCUGUUUUUAAAAAGCAGCUGUUUCACUGGUGGCUGAGGUAUCUGGAGAGAUUCCUUGCAAGCCUGGGCCAAAUAACUUUGUGUCUGCUGUGGUUUGAGAUCUUGGAGUGCAAAGUGGCUGUUUCACUGCAGGUGACUGAGAGCUCCAUAAAAUUAAAUUCCCUGAGCAGUGUCAGUGUCAGGCAGGAGGCCGAUAUGUGACCCUCAAAGAGGGGCUGAGAGCUGCAUGUACUCUAAAAAUGGCAGUUUUGUUCAGAGGAGAAAAUGCAAAGAAUGUGGAAUGAAGUUUCUCGAAGUGCCUCAAUCCUGUUGGCAUCUUCGUGUGUUAUUUAGGCUCUUCUGAGAUUGCUCAAAAUCUUAACAAUGUCUUGCCUUUGUUUAUUGUUCACCUGUUUUUCUUGGAAAGACAUCAUAAGCAGUAAUGAACUCAGCCUCCUGACAUCUUUCUGAGAGAGAGAAAUGUCUCAUUUCAAAACAGACACAAACAGGUUGGGUUUGUUAUUGUCUUUUGGCUGCUGGUGAGAGCAGUGCUCUUCAUGGUUAGCAGGGACAGGCCACAGCAGAGAAUGCUCAGUGCUGACCUAGGCUUCCUUAGGAAAUGGGACUCAUCCGUCCUGUCUGAACGUUGCAAGACUUGUUUUCCACUUCAUGUCAAAGAGCUGCCACUAAACUGCACAAAAUGUGGAAACUGGUUGGGAACUCAGCAGUGGGAAAGAACAGGAAAGUCAGUGCUCUGCUAAGAUGACGUUCCUCUGGGGUGCUGUGGAUGAUGCAGGCAUGUGCAGCUUGGCUGCCCCACAGAGAGAGCAGCACUGGGGAGCAUGGAGCAGCUUUUCCUCUCUGGGAUAGUUUUUUCCUCAACUCUGCAUUAACUGAGCUUGCCUCCACCCAACAGGUGGCAAAGUCGGAGUUUAAGUUGUGCCAGUCUGGCCCAGGCUGUGGAAGAGACACUCCCCGGUCAGAGGGCUUUGGCAUAGGGCCUUUUGGACUGUGAGUCACAAAUGUUACAGGCCCAUAAAGGCACCUGGGCUUCCAGUGAGAGAGGGAGAAACAUAUGACAACCUCAACUAGACAAUAUUGGGAGUUGCAUCCAGCAGUCGCUUGUCUCUGGUCAGCAGCACCUGUCCCUCAUAGAUUUCUCAUGUGCAUUUUGCUGAAGGAAACGACUGUAACAGAAAUGUUCUUUUCUCUUUGGGAAUGAGGCUGAAAGAACCACUAGGAGGACAAGGUCUUAUUUCUGCUGCUGCUCUGGCAAAACACACACUGUUAGGAGCUAAAUUUCCAAGAAUUAGAGGAGCAGAGAUCUGUAGUCACCUUGUUCUCCCAUGUGCUGGGACAGAUCUCCUCUUGGAAGCUGCUGCUCCCGUUCGGUGCGAAGUGACUCAGUGAGGCUCAGUGUGAAGUGACUCAACGCAGCGACUGUGCCCGAUAUUGGCCAGUGGGAUUUCUCUCCAAGGUAAUCCUAUCACGGGGAUUUGCCUGCACUUCACCUCACAAGCUGCUCAGCAGUUGCAUUUGUUUUCUUCUAGUGCCUUUUACCAUCAGAACAGUCCAAAACCUCCUUAGCAGGCAGAGCAUUGCAGAGGAGUCGUGCUGUAGUUGUUCCUGGCUCCACCACGACGCUGAGCCGGCCUCGGACGGGUGAACACACAAGGUCUGUGAUGAACACUCUGCUCCCCGCAGCGCUGGCUGGCUCCUCCAGUUCCUAGGACAGUCCUGCUCUCAGGAUGCUCACCCAGAGCUACACAGCAUCAUUUUUGAAAAGAAAUGAAUGUUUUACAGUCGGGAUUGGGAAUAGAUCGUGUUUAAUUCAGGUUUAAGUUUCUCUUGUGAUGUAGAACUGUAACUCUGUGGUGUUCUGCUGUGUUGCCUGAGCGGAUCUUUCGCAGCUGCUGUUUUCAGAAAGCAUCUGAGCACAACGUGUGCCUACCUUUGAGACAAGGAACACUGUGGCCCAAAAGGGAAGGAUAAUCAGGGCCCAGUGUGAGAUGGCAGGAGCCAUCUGUUUUUCCCAUCGCUGUUUCCUGGGUGCUCUUCAGCAGCAGGCAGAACUGUACCCUCUGCAUUGGGUAUCACAGUUGAGAACCUCACCAAAAGGGAUCAGCCGAGGGGGAUUUGUGCAGCCUGAUCCCAUUGCUGUGUCCAAGAGGGGCUGUCGGAGCCACAGCAGCCGGUCCUGAGCCACCCACCCUCGGUGGGUGAGUUGAGGCUUUGUUUGUCUCCAGCCAGGCCACACAGCGCUGCAGAAAAUGUUCCCAAACUGCUCGUUCUGUGUUUCCUGAGCCGUUCCCUGGUUUCAGCCUGGCUGCUCGGCUGCAAAGGCUUCACCCCCUGGGGGCUCUUCCCCUGUGAAACGGUUGAGAGUUGAGGAAAAACGUGAAGUGUGUUAUGCCAUACUCAGCUCUUGUUGCAGGGCGUUGAUUUAGCACAUCUCCCCUUUCCUGAUUUUUCUUUUUUCCUAUUGAUUUUUUUAUGCCACUC